rnacentral:rRNA from 1 species
UACAGAGGGGGCAAGCGUUGUUCGGAAUUACUGAGCGUAAAGGGCGUGCAGGCGGUUUGCUAAGUCUAGGGUGAAAGCUCCCGGCUUAACUGGGAGAGGUCCUUGGAUACUGGCAGACUUGAGGAGGGUAGAGGAGAGUGGAAUUCCCGGUGUAGCGGUGAAAUGCGUAGAUAUCUGGAGGAACACCGGUGGCGAGGGCGGCAUCCUGGACCGGCAUUGACGCUGAGGCGCGAAAGCCAGGGGAGCAAACGGG